UACGUAGGGUGCAAGCGUUGUCCGGAAUUAUUGGGCGUAAAGAGCUCGUAGGCGGUCUGUCACGUCGGCUGUGAAAACCCGAGGCUCAACCUCGGGCCUGCAGUCGAUACGGGCAAACUAGAGUACUGCAGGGGAGACUGGAAUUCCUGGUGUAGCGGUGAAAUGCGCAGAUAUCAGGAGGAACACCGGUGGCGAAGGCGGGUCUCUGGGCCGAAACUGACGCUGAGGAGCGAAAGCGUGGGGAGCGAACAGG
rnacentral:rRNA from 1 species